CACACACCCACGCCACUCUCUCAUCUCUCCCACGGCUUCUCUCUCUCUCUCUCUCUCUCAUCAAAUUUCUUCCCCAAAUCUCAAAUUAACCAAGGGAUCUUGGAGUAUUCUUCCCCUAGAGUCGAGUUCUAGCCUUUGAUCGCGUUGGAAAGCUCGGAGGGGGUGUUUUCGGGAGAGGUUUUGCCUGGAGAUUCUUGGGGUUUUAAUUUCAACCUUCGAGGAAGUUCGAGUCGUCACGUGGAUCGAGGUGAGUGAUUAAUACCCAAAACACAUGGUUUGUUACAAGCUUUACGCUUCAAUGAUGUUUUAUAAUUUGAUAUGAACUCCAUGGAAUAUCAAUGGAAGGUGGACAUGUUUUAUAUCUAUUAAUGGCAUCCUCCCACGUCCCAGCUUGCUAGGGGACACGUGCUAAAAGGCUAGCAAGACAUGGCUAUCAAAUCGGAUAACGAAAGACGUCUUAACUUAUCCACUACCGGGGACGCCUGGUAGACAUGAAAUGAAUAGAGGAUGUGCAUUACUAUGCUAUGUUGCUAUGAAAUGUGAUUCGAUUUUAAAUGGUUUUAUCAUUGUCCAUGGAAAGCAUGUGAAUUGCGUAUUAAUUAUUCAUACGAGCUUUGGCUUAUGUAUUUUCUUUUCCACCUUUCAGGAAGCGACGCGUAGUGUGGCAGAGUGUUUACUUUUGAGAUGUGCUGUAUAUUUGGAAAAGGAAGUUAUGCUUCAUGGUCACUUAGCUUUGUGUAUGAUUUGUUUAGUUUGUAAAUUUGUAGGUAAGCACAGCUCUGAGAGGUUUAUCCUUUUGGUUUGUUAACCUAUGUAAGACUUUGGUUUGUUAUCAAUAAAAGUUAACUUUUGCUUC